rnacentral:ncRNA from 1 species
CACCGCCUGUCACUCCUACCGAUUGAAUGAUUCGAUGAAAUGUUCGGAUCGCGGCGACGUGGGCGGUUUGCUGCCCGCAACGUCGCGAGAUGUCUAUUGAACCCUAUCAUUUAGAGAAAGGAGAAUUCGUAACAAGGUUUUCGUAGGUGAACAUGCGGAAG